rnacentral:rRNA from 1 species
GACGAACCGUCCAAACGUUAUUCGGAAUCACUGGGCUUACAGAGUUCGUAGGCGGUCUGGAAAGUUGGGUGUGAAAUCCCUCGGCCUAACCGAGGAACUGCGCUUGAAACUACCAGACUCGAGGGAGAUAGAGGAAAGCGGAACUGAUGGUGGAGCGGUGAAAUGCGUUGAUAUCAUCAGGAACACCGGUGGCGAAGGCGGCCCUCUGGGACGGUACUGACGCUGAGACGCGAAAGCGUGGGGAGCGAACAGG